rnacentral:rRNA from 1 species
GGUCCAACCUCCCACCCGUGUCUAUCGUACCUUGUUGCUUCGGCGGGCCCGCCGUUUCGACGGCCGCCGGGGAGGCCCUGCGCCCCCGGGCCCGCGCCCGCCGAAGACCCCAACAUGAACGCUGUUCUGAAAGUAUGCAGUCUGAGUUGAUUAUCGUAAUCAGUUAAAACUUUCAACAACGGAUCUCUUGGUUCCGGCAUCGAUGAAGAACGCAGCGAAAUGCGAUAAGUAAUGUGAAUUGCAGAAUUCAGUGAAUCAUCGAGUCUUUGAACGCACAUUGCGCCCCCUGGUAUUCCGGGGGGCAUGCCUGUCCGAGCGUCAUUGCUGCCCUCAAGCACGGCUUGUGUGUUGGGCCCCCGUCCCCCUCUCCCGGGGGACGGGCCCGAAAGGCAGCGGCGGCACCGCGUCCGGUCCUCGAGCGUAUGGGGCUUUGUCACCUGCUCUGUAGGCCCGGCCGGCGCCAGCCGACACCCAACUUUAUUUUUCUAAGGUUGACCUCGGAUCAGGUAGGGAUACCCGCUGAACUUAAGCAUAUCAAUAAGCGGAGGAA